rnacentral:rRNA from 1 species
CCCUUAGACGUUCUGGGCCGCGCGCGCGCUACACUGACCAGUGCAACAAGCAUCCGUCCUUGGCCGACAGGCCCGGGCAAUCUUUGAACGCUGGUCGUGAUGGGGAUAGACUUUUGCAAUUUUUGGUCUUCAACGAGGAAUUCCUAGUAAACGCAAGUCAUCAACUUGCAUUGAUUACGUCCCUGCCCUUUGUACACACCGCCCGUCGCACCUACCGAUUGAAUGGUCCGGUGAAGCCUCCGGAUUGGCGCGCACCUCGGUGCCGCCGAGAAGUUGGCUAAACCUUACCAUUUAGAGGAAGGUGAANUCGUAACA